rnacentral:rRNA from 1 species
UACGGGGGGAGCAACCGUUGUUCGGAAUCACUGGGCGUAAAGGGCGUGUAGGCGGCUGGAUAAGUGGGAUGUUAAAUCCCCCGGCUCAACCGGGGACCUGCAUCUCAUACUGUUCAGCUCGAGCACAUCAGAGGAGACUGGAAUUCCUGGUGUAGCGGUGAAAUGCGCAGAUAUCAGGAAGAACACCCGUGGCGAAGGCGGUUCUCUGGGACGGUACUGACGCUGAGACGCGAAAGCGUGGGGAGCGAACAGG